GAACUAAUAAAUUUGCUCGCUGUUGCAAUCAGGUCUGAAAUCAUUAGAAAGGUAAAAGAAGCAAAGUACUUCUCUGUUUUACUUGACUGUACUCCCGAUGCAAGCCACCAAGAGCAGAUGUCUUUGAUAAUUAGGUAUGUUGAUGCAUCUUCUGGUUCUUUUUGCAUUGAGGAAUCAUUCUUAGGUUUUUUGGAUGUGAAUGAUACCACCGGGCAAGGAUUGUUUGAUGUUCUAAAAAAUGAAUUGAAAAGUCUUGACCUUGAUAUUGAUAAUCUGAGAGGGCAGGGAUAUGAUAAUGGGUCAAAUAUGAAAGGAAGACAUCAAGGGGUAAAAAGUAAAGUUUUGAAAAUAAACCGGAGAGCUUUUUAUUCGGCUUGUGGUUGCCAUAGUCUAAAUUUGACAUUAUGUGAUAUGGCAAAGUCUUGUCGUAAAGCAUCUGAUUUUUUUUGGCAUUAUUCAACGCAUCUACACAACAUUUGCUAA
rnacentral:rRNA from 1 species